rnacentral:misc_RNA from 1 species
GAUGAAGAACGUAUCGAAAUGCGAUAAGUAGUGUGAAUUGCAGAAUUCAGUGAAUCAUCGAAUCUUUGAACGCACAUUGCGCCCUUUGGUAUUCCUUAGGGCAUGCCUGUUCGAGCGUCAUUUAAACCUUCAAGCUAAGCUUGGUGUUGGGUGACUGUCCGCUUCACGGCGGACUCGCCUCAAAAUUAUUGGCGGCCGGUACAUUGGCUUCGAGCGCAGCAGAAACGCGAACUCGGGCCCGUCGUAUUGGCUCCCAGAAGCUAUCUUCACAAUUUUGACCUCGGAUCAGGUAGGGAUACCCGCUGAACUUAAGCAUAUCAAUAAGCGGAGGA